CCCCCCUGGGGACACUGAUGCCCUCCUGUGCUUCCCGCAGGACAGCGAGGGGACCGCUGUGCGCCGGCUGCUGCCGCCUUGCCCUGAGCCACCCGCCCACAACGCCGCAGAGAGCAGGGCUGCGGGCCGGCGGCGCAGCAGGGAUUUUCCCCCGGGGGCUGCGGUUAUGCGGUGAGGACCCGCACCUUUUUUCCUGGCUGUGAAAGGCCCGAAAUACCAGAGGAUGUUUCUCGGUGUGUGCCAUGAGGGACCCCCCUUCCCCUGUGACACGCGGCUCGGGGAGGGGGAGCAGGGCACCGAAGGGCUCCACUCCCUCAGCGCCGCUCCCCCGCCAUUUCCAGCUCCUCUGGGGCUCGCCCACCCCCGGCUCCUCCACCCAGAGGCACUGUGAAGGCCGAGCAGCUCGCUUUGACCCUCUGUGUUGCUCAGAGAUCUUGGUGACCGGCCAUGUAAACCGCUGUUGUUCCAGCUCCUUGCCAGAAAAAAAAUAAAUAAAUAAAAAAUAAGGGUUUGGGCUGCUGCA